rnacentral:rRNA from 1 species
GAUGAACGCUGGCGGCGUGCCUAAUACAUGCAAGUCGAGCGAACGGACGAGAAGCUUGCUUCUCUGAUGUUAGCGGCGGACGGGUGAGUAACACGUGGAUAACCUACCUAUAAGACUGGGAUAAUUUCGGGAAACCGGACCUAAUACCGGAUAAUAUUUUGAACCGCGUGGUUCAUAAGUGAAUGACGGUCUUGCUGUCACUUAUAGAUGGAUCCGCGUUGCAUUAGCUAGUUGGUAAGGUAACGGCUUACCAAGGCAACGAUGCAUAGCCGACCUGAGAGGGUGAUCGGCCACACUGGAACUGAGACACGGUCCAGACUCCUACGGGAGGCAGCAGUAGGGAACCUUCCGCAAUGGGCGAAAGCCUGACGGAGCAACGCCGCGUGAGUGAUGAAGGUCUUCGGAUCGUAAAACUCUGUUAUUAGGGAAGAACAUAUGUGUAAGUAACUGUGCACAUCUUGACGGUACCUAAUCAGAAAGCCACGGCUAACUACGUG